ACGCUCGACACCUACGGGAAGCAGCAGUCGGGAAUAUUGCGCAAUGGAGGAAACUCUGACGCAGUGACGCCGCGUGCAGGAAGAAGGUUUUCGGAUUGUAAACUGCUUUAGACAGGGAAGAAAGAAAUGACAGUACCUGUAGAAUAAGCUCCGGCUAACUACGUGCCGGCAGCCGCGGUAAUCUGAGCGGGCUGGCAAGGC
rnacentral:rRNA from 1 species